UGUGUGUGUGUGUGUGUGUGUGUCUGCAGGACUAACUCGGACUCGGCGCUGCACACCAGUGUGAUGAAUCCUCCGGCUGGAGAUCUGUUCUCCGCAGGCCUCACAGCGCCGGGCAGACGAGCCGUCUUCUCUUAUCCUGUUCCUCCCAUCGAGGAGAACGGCCCUGACGACGGACGCCUCCUCAAACCCUGGGACUCCAGAAAGCUGCCGCUGCUCUCUUCACGACCAAAGUCCUGUGAGGUGCCUGGAAUCACGUGAGUCCGACCGGCCAAUCACACGCCUGCUCACAGCAUCAGUCAAUCAUUCACACUGCUCUUCCCG